AGUGAACGCUGGCGGUAGGCCUAACACAUGCAAGUCGAACGGCAGCACAGUAAGAGCUUGCUCUUACGGGUGGCGAGUGGCGGACGGGUGAGGAAUACAUCGGAAUCUACUUUUUCGUGGGGGAUAACGUAGGGAAACUUACGCUAAUACCGCAUACGACCUACGGGUGAAAGCAGGGGGUCUUCGGACCUUGCGCGAUUGAAUGAGCCGAUGUCGGAUUAGCUAGUUGGCGGGGUAAAGGCCCACCAAGGCGACGAACCGUAGCUGGUCUGAGAGGAUGAUCAGCCACACUGGAACUGAGACACGGUCCAGACUCCUACGGGAGGCAGCAGUGGGGAAUAUUGGACAAUGGGCGCAAGCCUGAUCCAGCCAUACCGCGUGGGUGAAGAAGGCCUUCGGGUUGUAAAGCCCUUUUGUUGGGAAAGAAAAGCAGCAGGUUAAUACCCCGCUGUUCUGACGGUACCCAAAGAAUAAGCACCGGCUAACUUCGUG
rnacentral:rRNA from 1 species